UACAGAGGGUGCGAGCGUUAAUCGGAAUUACUGGGCGUAAAGCGCGCGUAGGCGGCUUUUCAAGUCGAUUGUGAAAUCCCCGGGCUUAACCUGGGAACUGCAGUCGAGACUGUCUAGCUAGAGUAUGGGAGAGGGAAGUGGAAUUUCAGGUGUAGCGGUGAAAUGCGUAGAUAUCGGAAGGAACAUCAGUGGCGAAAGCGACUUCCUGGACCAAUACUGACGCUCAUGUGCGAAAGCGUGGGGAGCAAACAGG
rnacentral:rRNA from 1 species